AGCCGUUCCUGAAGUGUCAAAUAGUAGGUACUACUCGUAAGAAAAUGUACGUUGAUUUUUAUUUGGCACAUCAGUGACAGCAUG
rnacentral:pre_miRNA from 1 species